ensembl:lncRNA
GCCAGAGGGAACAUGGGCGCUGUGUCCUGAAUCCUGGGGUGGGGGAGCACCCAGGCCAUCCACAGGUCCCCCUCCACCCCGAGGUCCUGGGCACAGCAUUCAAGUUGCCCAGGGCAAGGGGUUCAUUGACCCUGAAGACCAGACUCAAAGCAUCCCUGCAGAUGUGGGAAAAGCUUAUAGUUUCCAGGCAAACUGAAAAACUUUUCUCUGACCACCUCUGGAGAAAAGGAGAGCAAAGAUUUCCAAAAGGGCACCCCCCACAUUCUAUAACUAGUCACGUACGUAGUCAACACCCUGUGUGGAUUCCGGACUUCCCUGGUGGCUCAGAGGGUGAAGAGUCUGCCUGCAACGCAGAAGACCCGGGUUCAAUCCCUGGGUUCAGACGAUCCGCUGGAGGAGGAAAUGGCAGCUCACUCCAGCAUUCUUGCCUGGAGAAUUCCAUGGACAGAGGAGCCCGGCGGGUCAUAGUCCAUGGAGUCGCAAAGAGUCAGACAGGACUGGGCAGCUAACACAGCAGCAUGGACUUCUGAGUAAACGAGCGGCCGGAUGAAUGUUGCCCGUGGC